rnacentral:rRNA from 1 species
CUGGCUCAGGAUGAACGCUAGCGACAGGCUUAACACAUGCAAGUCGAGGGCAGCAUAAAAGUAGCAAUACUUGGUGGCGACCGGCGCACGGGUGAGUAACGCGUAUGCAACCUACCUAUCAGAGGGGAAUAACCCGGCGAAAGUCGGACUAAUACCGCAUAAAACAGGGGCACCGCAUGGUGAUAUUUGUUAAAGAAAUUCGCUGAUAGAUGGGCAUGCGUUCCAUUAGGUAGUUGGUGAGGUAACGGCUCACCAAGCCGACGAUGGAUAGGGGAACUGAGAGGUUGGUCCCCCACACUGGUACUGAGACACGGACCAGACUCCUACGGGAGGCAGCAGUGAGGAAUAUUGGUCAAUGGGCGGGAGCCUGAACCAGCCAAGUCGCGUGAAGGAAGAAGGAUCUAUGGUUCGUAAACUUCUUUUGCAGGGGAAUAAAGUGCAGGACGUGUCCUGUUUUGUAUGUACCCUGAGAAUAAGGAUCGGCUAACUCCGUGCCAGCCGCCGC